GGCCACAGCCAUAUCAUGCUGCAGCCCAACACCGGUUACUCACCAAAGCUAAGCUGGGCUGAGCCUGGUCAGUACCUCUAUAGGAGACCCUAUGGGAAAGCUAGGUUGCUGUUGGAA
ensembl:rRNA 5S_rRNA 5S ribosomal RNA